rnacentral:rRNA from 1 species
GACGAACGCUGGCGGCGUGCCUAAUACAUGCAAGUUGAGCGCUGAAGGUUGGUACUUGUACCAACUGGAUGAGCAGCGAACGGGUGAGUAACGCGUGGGGAAUCUGCCUUUGAGCGGGGGACAACAUUUGGAAACGAAUGCUAAUACCGCAUAAAAACUUUAAACACAAGUUUUAAGUUUGAAAGAUGCAAUUGCAUCACUCAAAGAUGAUCCCGCGUUGUAUUAGCUAGUUGGUGAGGUAAAGGCUCACCAAGGCGAUGAUACAUAGCCGACCUGAGAGGGUGAUCGGCCACAUUGGGACUGCGCCACGGCCCAAACUCCUACGGGAGGCAGCAGUAGGGAAUCUUCGGCAAUGGACGAAAGUCUGACCGAGCAACGCCGCGUGAGUGAAGAAGGUUUUCGGAUCGUAAAACUCUGUUGGUAGAGAAGAACGUUGGUGAGAGUGGAAAGCUCAUCAAGUGACGGUAACUACCCAGAAAGGGACGGCUAACUACGUG